UCAAUGAAACAUACAGUGACAUUAAGUUCAAUGGGCAAGUCAAGGCUAGUGCUCUGCCUGAUAAUUCUGGUUUUGGUCUUCUUUGCAAGGUCGGAGAGCCGUCCUCUGAGUUCAAAGGCUCAGAAGAGGAAUGUAAGGAAAUUAUACGAGGCGUUGAAUGAGUUCGCAAAUAGUGAAGCAAAUAGCAGACGUGAUUAUCCUGACAGGGUGAGCCCUGGAGGCCCUGAUCCGCAUCAUCACGCAAAAGAUAACUAGUUCCUGAUCACUUUUUGAAAGAUAUGGUUUACAUUGCAUUACAACCUUUGAGACAUCGAGAGGUGGUCUUAAAGUAUUUGUGUCUGUAUCUGUGUGUUCUUGUUUUAGUUUCAGUUGUGUUAGGGAAAAAGAGUGAAGAGAGUGCCAAUAACGUAGUUAGCAGAAACACUUGAGUUCAAGGAGGGAAAAAAGG
rnacentral:lncRNA from 1 species